UUCCUUUCCCGUCUCUUUCUUCGUCCCCAUCCUCUCUUCUUCUUUUAUUUUUUUUUUGUCUCUUCUUCUCUCUGUUUUUCUUUUCUUUCUCCCGUCCCCCCUCAUCUCCUUUUGUCGGCCCCCUUAUCGAAGCCUUCAACAGUACCCCAUUUCAAAAUUGGGAAGCACCAUAUUCUUUCACGUACUAUCAUUCAUUAACUAGUAUACAUUUUAGGCCCCGUUUGUUUUCCCUCAUGAAAGGAGUGGAUAGGAAAAAAAUAUAUCCUAUCAGAUCACUUGUGAUGUUUGGAGCCCAAGAUAUGUUGGGAUCGGAAAUUUUGUAUCCAAUCAGUUCUUUUAUCCAUGUAUCCUGUUGAAAUGGUGUGAUCGAUUAAAUCCUGCUACUUAUUUCUUCGUCUUUCAGCCUCGUCGACAACGUAGAACUUCUCUCUUCCUCUGCGACCUUCACCUUCCGAAGCUCUCCGUCACAAUGCUCUGGCCCUUGCGGCCAUUUGACCUCCUGUUGCUGUCUCUCAGUUUGGUCAUAUGGCUUCAAGAUUACGUAAUGAAUUAUCUUCAGUAGAUGCUGUCCUAGGCACCCUUGAUGUGCGUAGCGACUGAUCUUAAUCUCAUUCAAGAUAUGACGGUCCUGCUAAUCGGCACAUGUUGCUUGCUCAUAUGCAUAAGAUAGUUUGGUUUUGAAGUGACUUGUAAGAUAAAUCUGAGUUUCUUCCUCAUAGAGGAAGUGUGAUCGUUAUCAGAGAUCUGCUCAAGUGUGCCUUUGGUCCUGCCCAACUUAGACAGUGAGACACUUGAUGAUCGAUCCUUGAGACUCCUCUCUUGUUUAGAUUGUGCUUUUCCUUUAUGUGCUUUUACUUUGUGACUUUGUGUGCGUGCUUGCACUGCUUCUUUGUAUUCUUACUGAUGGAUGAAGUAUUAUACAGUAAAUAUUUAGUCUUUU
rnacentral:lncRNA from 1 species